GACGAACGCUGGCGGCGUGCCUAAUACAUGCAAGUAGAACGCACAGUUUAUACCGUAGCUUGCUACACCAUAGACUGUGAGUUGCGAACGGGUGAGUAACGCGUAGGUAACCUGCCUGGUAGCGGGGGAUAACUAUUGGAAACGAUAGCUAAUACCGCAUAAUAUUGAUUAUUGCAUGAUAAUUGAUUGAAAGAUGCUAUUGCAUCACUACCAGAUGGACCUGCGUUGUAUUAGCUAGUAGGUGAGGUAACGGCUCACCUAGGCGACGAUACAUAGCCGACCUGAGAGGGUGAUCGGCCACACUGGGACUGAGACACGGCCCAGACUCCUACGGGAGGCAGCAGUAGGGAAUCUUCGGCAAUGGACGAAAGUCUGACCGAGCAACGCCGCGUGAGUGAAGAAGGUUUUCGGAUCGGAAAGCUCUGUUGUAAGAGAAGAACGGGUGUGAGAGUGGAAAGUUCACACUGUGACGGUAUCUUAACAGAAAGGGACGGCUAACUACGUG
rnacentral:rRNA from 1 species